rnacentral:tRNA from 1 species
GGCGAAGUGCCAGAGUGGUUAAUGGGCAUGCCUCGAAUUACCUCAUCAUCUCCCAAGAUGAAAAGAAUCAAGCAUGUGGCUUCGGUCGCGCAAGUUCGAAUCUUGUCUUCGUCG